GUGCGAUGAUGUAUGAAUUUCUUCACCUGAGGUCCUCGUGGAGAGUGAAAUUCGAGCUUUUUAACACUGAGUCACA
ensembl:snoRNA SNORD36 Small nucleolar RNA SNORD36